CCUACGGGAGGCAGCAGUGGGGAAUUUUGGACAAUGGGCGAAAGCCUGAUCCAGCCAUACCGCGUGCGGGAAGAAGGCCUUCGGGUUGUAAACCGCUCUUGUCAGGGAAGAAAUACUUCGGGCUAAUACCCUGGGGUGAUGACGGUACCUGAAGAAUAAGCACCGGCUAACUACGUGCCAGCAGCCGCGGUAAUACGUAGGGUGCAAGCGUUAAUCGGAAUUACUGGGCGUAAAGCGUGCGCAGGCGGUUCUAUAAGACAGAUGUGAAAUCCCCGGGCUCAACCUGGGAACUGCAUUUGUGACUGUAGAGCUAGAGUACGGUAGAGGGGGAUGGAAUUCCGCGUGUAGCAGUGAAAUGCGUAGAUAUGCGGAGGAACACCGAUGGCGAAGGCAAUCCCCUGGACCUGUACUGACGCUCAUGCACGAAAGCGUGGGGAGCAAACAGGAUUAGAUACCCUGGUAGUCCACGCCCUAAACGAUGUCAACUGGUUGUUGGGAGGGUUUCUUCUCAGUAACGAAGCUAACGCGUGAAGUUGACCGCCUGGGGAGUACGGCCGCAAGGUUGAAAACUCAAAAGUGAAUUGGAGCGNGAGAGCGCGACGACGACGACGAGGGAGGAGG
rnacentral:rRNA from 1 species